rnacentral:rRNA from 1 species
AGAGUUUGAUCAUGGCUCAGAUUGAACGUUGGCGGCAGGCCUAAAACAUGCAAGUCGAACGGUAACAGCGGAAGCUUGCUUCCGGCUGACGAGUGGCGGACGGGUGAGUAACACGUAGGAAUCUACCUAGUAGUGGGGGACAACCCGGGGAAACCCGGGCUAAUACCGCAUACGCUCUACGGAGGAAAGCGGGGGAUCUUCGGACCUCGCGCUAUUGGAGGAGCCUGCGUCGGAUUAGCUAGUUGGUGGGGUAAAGGCCUACCAAGGCGACGAUCCGUAGCUGGUCUGAGAGGACGAUCAGCCACACUGGAACUGAGACACGGUCCAGACUCCUACGGGAGGCAGCAGUUAGGAAUCUUGGGCAAUGGGCGCAAGCCUGACCCAGCCAUGCCGCGUGUGUGAAGAAGGCCUUCGGGUUGUAAAGCACUUUCAGCGGUGAAGAAAAGCUCAGGGCCAAUAUCCUUGAGUCUUGACGUUAACCGCAGAAGAAGCACCGGCUAACUCCGUGCCAGCAGCCGCGGUAAUACGGAGGGUGCGAACGUUAAUCGGAAUCACUGGGCGUAAAGCGCGCGUAGGCGGUUUGUUAAGUGGGAUGUGAAAGCCCCGGGCUUAACCUGGGAAUUGCAUUUCAAACUGGCAAACUAGAGUGCGGUAGAGGGAGGUAGAAUUUCCUGUGUAGCGGUGAAAUGCGUAGAUAUAGGAAGGAAUACCAGUGGCGAAGGCGGCCUCCUGGAUCGACACUGACGCUAAGGCGCGAAAGCGUGGGGAGCAAACAGGAUUAGAUACCCUAGUAGUCC